AAUUGGAGGUGGCUGAAGGCUGCCUACUGGGCAACUGCAUUGCCCACUGAACUACUGAGAUCUUCCGCACCAGAGACCUCUCUGAAAUUUGCUGGUCUGGUAAUACAGCCCGUCGAAGCAGUGGCCAACCAGGUCUCGCUUCAGGUAAUUCUCUGAUCAACAUAGAAAUAGAACUUGCUGCUGCUUCCUCUUCUUUCUGUACUGGCACUAUAGCCAUAGAUCUAUCUUCACCAUCAUCCGCAGA
rnacentral:lncRNA from 1 species